rnacentral:rRNA from 1 species
GAUGAACGCUGACAGAAUGCUUAACACAUGCAAGUCAACUUGAACUUCGGUUUGGGUGGCGGACGGGUGAGUAACGCGUACAGAACUUGCCUCACAGAUAGGGACAACAUUUGGAAACGAAUGCUAAUACCUGAUAUUAUGAUUUUAGGGCAUCCUAGGAUUAUGAAAGCUAUAUGCGCUGUGAGAGAGCUUUGCGUCCCAUUAGCUAGUUGGAGAGGUAACGGCUCACCAAGGCGAUGAUGGGUAGCCGGCCUGAGAGGGUGAUCGGCCACAAGGGGACUGAGACACGGCCCUUACUCCUACGCGAGGCAGCAGUAGGGAAUAUUGGACAAUGGACGAAGAGGCUGUUCCAGCAAUUCUGUGUGCACGAUGAAGUUUUUCGGAAUGUAAAGUGCUUUCAGUUGGGAAGAAAAAAAUGACGGUACCAACAGAAGAAGCGACGGCUAAAUACGU